UACGUAGGGGGCGAGCGUUGUCCGAAGUUACUGGGCGUAAAGAGCGCGUAGGCGGACCCUUAAGUGAGGGGUGAAAGGUUCGGGCUCAACCCGGAGAGUGCCUUUCAUACUGGGGGUCUUGAGUGCGGGAGAGGCAAGUGGAAUGGUCGGUGUAGCGGUGAAAUGCGUAGAUAUCGAUCGGAACACCCGUGGCGAAGGCGGCUUGCUGGCUCGCAACUGACGCUGAGGCGCGAAAGCGUGGGGAGCAAACAGGAUUAGAUACCCUGGUAGUCCACGCCGUAAACGAUGAGUGCUAGAUGUCCGGGGUAUCGACCCCCCUGGUGUCGCAGCUAACGCAAUAAGCACUCCGCCUGGGGAGUACGGCCGCAAGGUUGAA
rnacentral:rRNA from 1 species